rnacentral:rRNA from 1 species
AUUGAACGCUGGCGGCAUGCCUUACACAUGCAAGUCGAACGGCAGCACGGGAGCAAUCCUGGUGGCGAGCGGCGAACGGGUGAGUAAAGUAUCGGAACGUGCCCAGUCGUGGGGGAUAACGUAGCGAAAGUUACGCUAAUACUGCAUACGAUCUAUGGAUGAAAGCGGGGGAUCGCAAGACCUCGCGCGAUUGGAGCGGCCGAUAUCAGAUUAGGUAGUUGGUGGGGUAAAGGCACACCAAGCCGACGAUCUGUAGCUGGUCUGAGAGGACAACCAGCAAAACUGGGACUGAGACACGGCCCAGAAUCCUACAGGAGACAGCAGUGGGGAAUUUUGGACAAUGGGCGAAAGCCUGAUCCAGCCAUGCCGAGUGCAGAAUGAAGGCCUUCGGGUUGUAAACUGCUUUUGUACGGAACGAAAAGGUUUGGCCUAAUAAGCUGAGCUCAUGACGGUACCGUAGGAAUAAGCACCGGCUAACUACGUGCCAGCCGCCGCCGUAA